UACAGAGGGGGCAAGCGUUGUUCGGAAUUACUGGGCGUAAAGGGCGCGUAGGCGGCCUGCUAAGUCGAACGUGAAAUCCCCGGGCUCAACCCGGGAACUGCGUCCGAUACUGGCAGGCUUGAAUCCGGGAGAGGGAUGUGGAAUUCCAGGUGUAGCGGUGAAAUGCGUAGAUAUCUGGAGGAACACCGGUGGCGAAGGCGGCAUCCUGGACCGGUAUUGACGCUGAUGCGCGAAAGCCAGGGGAGCGAACGGG
rnacentral:rRNA from 1 species